rnacentral:rRNA from 1 species
GACGAACGCUGGCGGCGUGCUUAACACAUGCAAGUCGAACGGAAAGGCCCUGCUUUUGUGGGGUGCUCGAGUGGCGAACGGGUGAGUAACACGUGAGUAACCUGCCCUUGACUUUGGGAUAACUUCAGGAAACUGGGGCUAAUACCGGAUAGGAGCUCCUGCUGCAUGGUGGGGGUUGGAAAGUUUCGGCGGUUGGGGAUGGACUCGCGGCUUAUCAGCUUGUUGGUGGGGUAGUGGCUUACCAAGGCUUUGACGGGUAGCCGGCCUGAGAGGGUGACCGGCCAAAUGGGGCUGAGGGAACGGCCCGGAUCCCACCGGGGGGCAGCAGGGGGGAAUUUUGAACAAGGGGCGGAGGCCUGAUGCAGCAACGCCGGGUGGGGGAGGCCGGCCUUGGGGUUGAAAACCGCUUUCCCCUGGGACGAAGCGUGGGUGCCGGAAAUGGGGAAAGAAGCACCGGCUAACUACGG